rnacentral:lncRNA from 1 species
AGGUUAUGGGAGUCAUAGAAGAAGUGGAACGACGAAACUACAAAGUGAAUGAAAAUACAUUCCCAAGGUCAAAACGCGAGAAAAAAAAAUAAUUAGUUGAUUUCUUCAAAAAUUGAUUGUUAAGUUCAUACUAUCAUGUUUAUGUAGAACACAUUUCAAACACCGUAAAAACUAGAAUUUAGAAAUAGAUGAAACAAAAUACAAAAAUCUGAUAAGGACACAUCCAGCAAACUUGCAUAGGCUAAAAAACACAAACUUCCGUUAAUACACUAACUCAAAUUUGCUCGAUGCUUGCUUUCAAAAUAGAAAUUCUCCAAGC